UACGAAGGGGGCUAGCGUUGCUCGGAAUCAUUGGGCGUAAAGGGUGCGUAGGCGGGUCUUUAAGUCAGGGGUGAAAUCCUGGAGCUCAACUCCAGAACUGCCUUUGAUACUGAAGAUCUUGAGUUCGGGGAGAGGUGAGUGGAACUGCGAGUGUAGAGGUGAAAUUCGUAGAUAUUCGCAAGAACACCAGUGGCGAAGGCGGCUCACUGGCCCGAUACUGACGCUGAGGCACGAAAGCGUGGGGGAGCAAACAGG
rnacentral:rRNA from 1 species